rnacentral:rRNA from 1 species
GGGUUGUGAGGUUAAGCGACUAAGCGUACACGGUGGAUGCCCUGGCAGUCAGAGGCGAUGAAGGACGUGCUAAUCUGCGAUAAGCGUCGGUAAGGUGAUAUGAACCGUUAUAACCGGCGAUUUCCGAAUGGGGAAACCCAGUGUGUUUCGACACACUAUCAUUAACUGAAUCCAUAGGUUAAUGAGGCGAACCGGGGGAACUGAAACAUCUAAGUACCCCGAGGAAAAGAAAUCAACCGAGAUUCCCCCAGUAGCGGCGAGCGAACGGGGAGCAGCCCAGAGCCUGAAUCAGUGUGUGUGUUAGUGGAAGCGUCUGGAAAGGCGCGCGAUACAGGGUGACAGCCCCGUACACAAAAAUGCACAUGCUGUGAGCUCGAUGAGUAGGGCGGGACACGUGGUAUCCUGUCUGAAUAUGGGGGGACCAUCCUCCAAGGCUAAAUACUCCUGACUGACCGAUAGUGAACCAGUACCGUGAGGGAAAGGCGAAAAGAACCCCGGCGAGGGGAGUGAAAAAGAACCUGAAACCGUGUACGUACAAGCAGUGGGAGCACGCUUAGGCGUGUGACUGCGUACCUUUUGUAUAAUGGGUCAGCGACUUAUAUUCUGUAGCAAGGUUAACCGAAUAGGGGAGCCGAAGGGAAACCGAGUCUUAACUGGGCGUUAAGUUGCAGGGUAUAGACCCGAAACCCGGUGAUCUAGCCAUGGGCAGGUUGAAGGUUGGGUAACACUAACUGGAGGACCGAACCGACUAAUGUUGAAAAAUUAGCGGAUGACUUGUGGCUGGGGGUGAAAGGCCAAUCAAACCGGGAGAUAGCUGGUUCUCCCCGAAAGCUAUUUAGGUAGCGCCUCGUGAAUUCAUCUCCGGGGGUAGAGCACUGUUUCGGCAAGGGGGUCAUCCCGACUUACCAACCCGAUGCAAACUGCGAAUACCGGAGAAUGUUAUCACGGGAGACACACGGCGGGUGCUAACGUCCGUCGUGAAGAGGGAAACAACCCAGACCGCCAGCUAAGGUCCCAAAGUCAUGGUUAAGUGGGAAACGAUGUGGGAAGGCCCAGACAGCCAGGAUGUUGGCUUAGAAGCAGCCAUCAUUUAAAGAAAGCGUAAUAGCUCACUGGUCGAGUCGGCCUGCGCGGAAGAUGUAACGGGGCUAAACCAUGCACCGAAGCUGCGGCAGCGACGCUGAUGCGUUGUUGGGUAGGGGAGCGUUCUGUAAGCCUGCGAAGGUGUGCUGUGAGGCAUGCUGGAGGUAUCAGAAGUGCGAAUGCUGACAUAAGUAACGAUAAAGCGGGUGAAAAGCCCGCUCGCCGGAAGACCAAGGGUUCCUGUCCAACGUUAAUCGGGGCAGGGUGAGUCGACCCCUAAGGCGAGGCCGAAAGGCGUAGUCGAUGGGAAACAGGUUAAUAUUCCUGUACUUGGUGUUACUGCGAAGGGGGGACGGAGAAGGCUAUGUUGGCCGGGCGACGGUUGUCCCGGUUUAAGCGUGUAGGCUGGUUUUCCAGGCAAAUCCGGAAAAUCAAGGCUGAGGCGUGAUGACGAGGCACUACGGUGCUGAAGCAACAAAUGCCCUGCUUCCAGGAAAAGCCUCUAAGCAUCAGGUAACAUCAAAUCGUACCCCAAACCGACACAGGUGGUCAGGUAGAGAAUACCAAGGCGCUUGAGAGAACUCGGGUGAAGGAACUAGGCAAAAUGGUGCCGUAACUUCGGGAGAAGGCACGCUGAUAUGUAGGUGAAGCGACUUGCUCGUGGAGCUGAAAUCAGUCGAAGAUACCAGCUGGCUGCAACUGUUUAUUAAAAACACAGCACUGUGCAAACACGAAAGUGGACGUAUACGGUGUGACGCCUGCCCGGUGCCGGAAGGUUAAUUGAUGGGGUUAGCGCAAGCGAAGCUCUUGAUCGAAGCCCCGGUAAACGGCGGCCGUAACUAUAACGGUCCUAAGGUAGCGAAAUUCCUUGUCGGGUAAGUUCCGACCUGCACGAAUGGCGUAAUGAUGGCCAGGCUGUCUCCACCCGAGACUCAGUGAAAUUGAACUCGCUGUGAAGAUGCAGUGUACCCGCGGCAAGACGGAAAGACCCCGUGAACCUUUACUAUAGCUUGACACUGAACAUUGAGCCUUGAUGUGUAGGAUAGGUGGGAGGCUUAGAAGUGUGGACGCCAGUCUGCAUGGAGCCGACCUUGAAAUACCACCCUUUAAUGUUUGAUGUUCUAACGUUGACCCGUAAUCCGGGUUGCGGACAGUGUCUGGUGGGUAGUUUGACUGGGGCGGUCUCCUCCUAAAGAGUAACGGAGGAGCACGAAGGUUGGCUAAUCCUGGUCGGACAUCAGGAGGUUAGUGCAAUGGCAUAAGCCAGCUUGACUGCGAGCGUGACGGCGCGAGCAGGUGCGAAAGCAGGUCAUAGUGAUCCGGUGGUUCUGAAUGGAAGGGCCAUCGCUCAACGGAUAAAAGGUACUCCGGGGAUAACAGGCUGAUACCGCCCAAGAGUUCAUAUCGACGGCGGUGUUUGGCACCUCGAUGUCGGCUCAUCACAUCCUGGGGCUGAAGUAGGUCCCAAGGGUAUGGCUGUUCGCCAUUUAAAGUGGUACGCGAGCUGGGUUUAGAACGUCGUGAGACAGUUCGGUCCCUAUCUGCCGUGGGCGCUGGAGAACUGAGGGGGGCUGCUCCUAGUACGAGAGGACCGGAGUGGACGCAUCACUGGUGUUCGGGUUGUCAUGCCAAUGGCACUGCCCGGUAGCUAAAUGCGGAAGAGAUAAGUGCUGAAAGCAUCUAAGCACGAAACUUGCCCCGAGAUGAGUUCUCCCUGACCCUUUAAGGGUCCUGAAGGAACGUUGAAGACGACGACGUUGAUAGGCCGGGUGUGUAAGCGCAGCGAUGCGUUGAGCUAACCGGUACUAAUGAACCGUGAGGCUUAACCUUACAACGCCGAAGGUGUUU